UACGUAGGCAGCAAGCGUUGUUCGGAGUUACUGGGCGUAAAGGGUGUGUAGGCGGUUCUUUAAGUUUGGUGUGAAAUCUCCCGGCUUAACCGGGAGGGUGCGCCGAAUACUGAGGGACUCGAGUGCGGGAGAGGAAAGUGGAAUUCCUGGUGUAGCGGUGAAAUGCGUAGAUAUCAGGAGGAACACCAGUAGCGAAGGCGGCACUCUGGGCCGGUACUGACGCUGAGGAGCGAAAGCGUGGGGAGCAAACAGG
rnacentral:rRNA from 1 species